rnacentral:rRNA from 1 species
GCAAUCCUGGUGGCGAGUGGCGAACGGGUGAGUAAUAUAUCGGAACGUGCCCAGUCGUGGGGGAUAACGCAGCGAAAGCUGUGCUAAUACCGCAUACGAUCUCUGGAUGAAAGCGGGGGACCUGCAAGGGCCUCGCGCGGUUGGAGCGGCCGAUAUCAGAUUAGCUAGUUGGUGGGGUAAAAGCUCACCAAGGCGACGAUCUGUAGCUGGUCUGAGAGGACGACCAGCCACACUGGAACUGAGACACGGUCCAGACUCCUACGGGAGGCAGCAGUGGGGAAUAUUGGACAAUGGGCGAAAGCCUGAUCCAGCAAUGCCGCGUGCAGGAUGAAGGCCUUCGGGUUGUAAACUGCUUUUGUACGGAACGAAACGGUCCUUUCUAAUAUAAGGGGCUAAUGACGGUACCGUAAGAAUAAGCACCGGCUAACUACGUGCCAGCAGCCGCGGUAAUA